AACGCACAUUGCGCCCUCUGGUAUUCCGGAGGGCAUGCCUGUUUGAGUGUCAUUAAUCUCUCACAGAGAACUCUUAUUUGGUUCUCUGUCGGUGUUGGGAUCUGCGAGUUUCUUUUGAACUUCGCUGUCCUCAAAUGAAUUGGUGCGGCCCGCCGCCCGGUUACACAACGUUCUAGGUUCGUCCAACUCGUUGAUUAUGCCGGUUGCAACAAUGGUUGCUGCACCUGAAGCCCGCUAUGUGCCUCUGUGCCCUUAGCUACACCUCAUUUAUUGACCUCAGAUCAGGUAGGAAUACGCGCUGAACUUAA
rnacentral:misc_RNA from 1 species